AUGUCGUCGCGGCUGUGCGUGAAGAAUCUGCCCAAGGGCGCCGACGAGAAGCGGCUGCGGGAGGUGUUCUCGCGGAAGGGCGAGGUGACCGACGCCAAGGUCAUCCGAACCAAGGAUGGAAAGAGCAGGCAUCUUGCAUUUAUUGGUUUCAGAACCAAUGAAGAGGCAGCGGAGGCCCUCAACUAUUUCAACAAUACAUACAUUGACACUUCUAAGAUCACCUGUGAGAUUGCACGGAAGAUUGGCGAUCCUGAUGCUCCUCGCCCUUGGAGUCGCCAUUCUUUAAAGAAGCCAGAAUAUAAUGCUAAAGACAAGACUAACAGUGGCGAUGUUAAUGCACCGCUGAAGAGUUCCAAGAGCCAAGGGAAGUCUGCUGAUGUGGGAGCUUCUAAAGGCACUAUAGCUAAUGAUCCCAAGUUCCAAGAGUUUCUUCAAGUUAUGCAACCCCGAUCUAAAGCAAAGAUGUGGGCAAAUGAUACAACGGGUACCCUUGAUGAUGCUGCCAAAGAUAGCACAGUAGCUACUGGAUCCAAGAAGUCGCAGAAGAGCGAAAAUGAUUCAUCGUCUGAAAAUGAUUCAUCUUCUGACGAUGAUUUUGAGGAGAAAAUAACAAAUGAUUUGCCCUCACAAGAUGCUUCAGAGAAGCUGCAAACUGAAAGUAAACGAGACAGCAGUAUGACAGAUAUGGACUUCUUUAAGAGUAAAAUUAGAAAAGAUUGGUCCGAUUCUGAAUCUGAUGAUGAAGAUUCUGGUGAUCAGUUGGGCAACAACACUGAUGAUGAAGAACCAUCUGAUGAAUCGCUUGACACAAAUGAAAAGGGUCAGAUGGUGGAUCAAAAGGGUAAUCUAAACCAGAAAAAUCAUGAAGAUAAUAAAGCGCCUAUGGAAGGUAGUGACAUGCAAGAGGUGGAAGAUUCUGACAACCAAGACAGUGAACAUAUUGACAGCCAACAAAAAGAUGAAAAUCAUGCCAAUCAAGAAACAGAAGAUGUGGAAGCCGCUUCAACUACUGAUGAAAAGAAGCUAGCACUGGAGACUGGCCGUUUAUAUAUCUGCAACCUUCCAUAUGCAACUACUGAAGAGGAUCUGGUUCAGCUAUGCAGCCAGUAUGGCGAUGUUGAACAGGCACAUAUUGUCGUCGAUAAAACCACUAAGCUCUCAACAGGCAGAGGUUAUGUCCUUUUUAGCCUUCCAGACUCAGCAGUCAGGGCACUUGAUGAAUUAGACAACUUAAGUUUUCAAGGGCGACUGCUACGUGUUAAGGCUGCUAAACCACUUAAUAAUAAGACAUUCGAGUCUAGUCAUUUUGCUGUUGAUGAGAAAAUGAAUCUCAAGGAGAGAAGGUUGGAACAAAAGAAAACAUCUGAAAUUGGUGGGGAUACAAGAGCAUGGAACAGCUUUUAUAUGCGUCAAGAUACUGUCGUUGAAAACAUAGCAAGGAAGAAUGGUAUAAGUAAGAGUGAGUUACUUCAUAGGGAAGCCGAUGACCUUGCUGUUCGUAUUGCUCUUGGUGAGACACAUGUCAUUGCGGAGACCAAAAAAUAUCUAUCUAGGUCUGGAGUUAAUGUUGAUGCCUUGGAAGAACAUACUUCCAAAAGAAACGAGAAGUUGAAACGAAGCAACCAUGUGAUAUUGGUAAAAAACUUGCCAUAUAGUUCUUCUGAAGAAGAUCUCGCUGCGAUGUUUCAGAAACAUGGAAGUUUGGAUAAAAUCAUUCUCCCACCGACAAGAGUAUUUGCCUUGGUAGUCUUCGUUGAAGCAACUGAGGCUCGUCAUGCUUUCAAAAAAUUGCUAUACACACGAUACAAGGAUACUCCACUGUAUUUGGAAUGGGCACCUGAAAAUAUUUUAUCUCCUACCUCAACAACCGUGGAAGAAGACGAAGCAAAUACAGCUGGUGAGAGGAUUAUUACAAAAGCUAUUGUAGAUCAAACAAAGGAAGGAGUUAGUGCUGAAGAGAUUGAUCCUGAUAGAGUGGAGUCCCGAUCUGUAUUUGUCAAGAAUUUGAAUUUCAAGACUACAGAUGAAUCGUUAAAGCAGCAUUUCAGUACAAAAUUGAAGACCGGGAGCCUUAAAAGUGCAACGGUGAAAAAACAUAUUAAGAAAGGCAAGAAUGUUUCAAUGGGAUUUGGCUUCGCUGAGUUUGAUUCGGUUGAAACUGCAACCAGUGUAUGCAAGGAUCUACAGGGAACGGUUUUGGAUGGGCAUGCUCUGAUCUUACAACUAUGCCAUGGGAGAAAGGAUGGUCAAACUACGAAGAAAAAUGAGAAGGACAAGAGCUCAACUAAACUGCUUGUGCGAAAUGUAGCGUUUGAAGCAACUGAAAAGGACCUGAGGCAAUUAUUUAGUCCAUUUGGCCAGAUCAAAACCCUGAGGCUGCCCAUGAAGUUUGGAAGUCACAGAGGUUUCGCGUUUGUCGAAUUCGUGACGAAGCAAGAGGCACAGAACGCUCUUCAAGCCCUUGCAAGCACCCAUCUCUAUGGCCGACAUCUGGUGAUUGAGCGAGCCAAAGAGGGAGAGACCCUUGAAGAAUUGCGAGCAAGAACUGCCGCUCAGUUUGUGGACGAACAGAGCGGUUUCCAGCGGAUGUCCAAGAAGAGGAAACAGACUAGUCUGGUGGACGAAGGCUCUGUUAAGUUUUCAAGGAUAGUAGAAUGA
rnacentral:rRNA from 1 species